CGUAGCUCAGUUGGUUAGAGCACAUCACUCAUAAUGAUGGGGUCACAGGUUCGAAUCCCGUCGUAGCCACCA
rnacentral:tRNA from 58 species